AGACGAAUUUUGAUCCGCAGAUUUCUGAAUGGGGAAACCUAAUCAAUUUAUUGAUUAUUGCAUAUUGAAUACAUAGAUAUGUAAAGCAAACCUGGUGAACUGAAAUAUCUCAGUAGCUAGAGGAAAGGAAAUCAAAAGAGACUCCGUUAGUAGUGACGAGCGAACGCGGAUCAGGCCAGUGGUUUAUAGUUAAAAAUUAGAAUACUUUGGAAAGAGUAGCCAUAGAUGGUGAUAGCCCAGUAUAAGUAAAAAGAUUAUAGAUCCUUGAGUAGGGCGGGACACGUGAAAUCCUGUUUGAAGAUGGGGGGACCAUCCUCCAAGCCUAAGUACUCCUUAACGACCGAUAGUGGACAAGUACCGUGAGGGAAAGGUGAAAAGAACCCCGGGAGGGGAGUGAAAUAGACCCUGAAAUCGAAUGCUUACAACCAGUUGGAGCCUUAUAUUUAUCUUUGGGAGCAAUCUCAUCUAUAUUUAUUAGG
rnacentral:rRNA from 1 species